rnacentral:rRNA from 1 species
UACCUGGUUGAUCCUGCCAGUAGUCAUAUGCUGUCUCAAAGAUUAAGCCAUGCAUGUCUAAGUAUAAGCAACUUUGUACUGUGAAACUGCGAAUGGCUCAUUAAAUCAGUUAUAGUUUAUUUGAUGGUUUUUGCUACAUGGAUAACUGUGGUAAUUCUAGAGCUAAUACAUGCAUUCAAGCCCCGACUUCUGGAAGGGGUGUAUUUAUUAGAUAAAAAUCAACUUUGUUGGUGAAUCAUAAUAACUUCUCGGACCGCAUGGCCUUGUGCUGGCGGUGCUUCAUUCAAAUAUCUGCCCUAUCAACUGUCGAUGGUAGGAUAGAGGCCUACCAUGGUUGCAACGGGUAACGGGGAAUAAGGGUUCGAUUCCGGAGAGGGAGCCUGAGAAACGGCUACCACAUCCAAGGAAGGCAGCAGGCGCGCAAAUUACCCAAUCCCAACACGGGGAGGUAGUGACAAUAUGUAACAAUAUACGGCCUUAUACGUCGUAUAAUUGGAAUGAGUACAAUUUAAAUCCCUUAACGAGGAACAAUUGGAGGGCAAGUCUGGUGCCAGCAGCCGCGGUAAUUCCAGCUCCAAUAGCGUAUAUUAAAGUUGUUGCAGUUAAAAAGCUCGUAGUUGGACCUUGGACCUGGACAGGCGGUCCGCCUCACGGCGAGUACUGUCUUGCUGGGUCUUUCCUCUUGGUGAUCUGUUGUUUCGGCAGCAGGGAACCAGGACCUUUACUUUGAAAAAAUUAGAGUGUUCAAGGCAGGCUCGACGCCGGAAUAUAUUAGCAUGGAAUAAUAAAAUAGGACGUGCGGUUCUAUUUUGUUGGUUUUUGGAAUCGCCGUAAUGAUUAAUAGGGACAGUCGGGGGCAUUAGUACUCACAUGCUAGAGGUGAAAUUCUUGGAUUUUGUGAAGACUAACUACUGCGAAAGCAUUUGCCCAAGAAUGUUUUCAUUAAUCAAGAACGAAAGUUAGAGGUUCGAAGGCGAUCAGAUACCGCCCUAGUUCUAACCAUAAACGAUGCCAACCAGCGAUCAGUCUGAGUACUUUUAUUGACUCGUCUGGAAGCUUCCGGGAAACCAAAGUUUUUGGGUUCCGGGGGAAGUAUGGUUGCAAAGCUGAAACUUAAAGGAAUUGACGGAAGGGCACCACCAGGAGUGGAGCCUGCGGCUUAAUUUGACUCAACACGGGAAAACUCACCCGGCCCGGACACUGAAAGGAUAGACAGAUUAAGAGCUCUUUCUUGAUUCAGUGGGUGGUGGUGCAUGGUCGUUCUUAGUUGGUGGAGUAGUUUGUCUGGUUAAUUCCGAUAACGAACGAGAUUUUAACCUAUUAAAUAGAAUUUAAUCUCUUAAUUGCGAUUAAAUUUCUUCUUAGAGGAACAGGCGGCGUUUCAGCCGCACGAGAAAGAGCAAUAACAGGUCUGUGAUGCCCUUAGAUGUCCGGGGCUGCACGCGCGCUACAAUGAAGGCGACAGCAUGCAACAUAAACCCUCUCUGAGAAGAGCGGGUAACCAUAUGAAAAUUCUUCGUAAUAGGGACUGGGCAUUGUAAUUAUUGCCCAUGAACGAGGAAUUCCCAGUAAGCGUGAGUCAAAAACUUGCGUUGAUUACGUCCCUGCCCUUUGUACACACCGCCCGUCGCUACUACCGAUUGAAUGAUUUAGUGAGGUCUUCAGACUGGCUAAUUCGACUACAUUUUGUGGUAGGAUUGUGCUGGAAAGAUGACCAAACUUGAUCAUUUAGAGGAAGUAAAAGUCGUAACAAGGUUUUCGUAGGUGAACCUGCGGAAGG